GGGGAUGUAGCUCAGUGGUAGAGCGCAUGCUUUGCAUGUAUGAAGGUCCGGGUUCAAUCCCCGGCAUCUCCA
rnacentral:tRNA from 1 species